rnacentral:rRNA from 1 species
GUCUACGGCCAUGCCACCCUGAACAAGCCCGAUCCCGUCUGAUCUCAGAAGCUAAGCAGGGUCGAGCCUGGUUAGUCCUCGGAUGGGAGACCAUCUAGGAAAACCAGGUGCUGUAGGCG